rnacentral:rRNA from 1 species
GGGACAACAGUGGGAUACGACUGCUAAUACCGCAUAAGCGCACAGCUUCGCAUGAAGCAGUGUGAAAAACUCCGGUGGUACAAGAUGGACCCGCGUCUGAUUAGCUGGUUGGUGAGGUAACGGCCCACCAAGGCGACGAUCAGUAGCCGGCCUGAGAGGGUGAACGGCCACAUUGGGACUGAGACACGGCCCAAACUCCUACGGGAGGCAGCAGUGGGGAAUAUUGCACAAUGGGGGAAACCCUGAUGCAGCAACGCCGCGUGAGUGAAGAAGUAUUUCGGUAUGUAAAGCUCUAUCAGCAGGAAAGAAAAUGACGGUACCUGACUAAGAAGCCCCGGCUAACUACGUGCCAGCAGCCGCGGUAAUACGUAGGGGGCAAGCGUUAUCCGGAUUUACUGGGUGUAAAGGGAGCGUAGACGGUUUUGCAAGUCUGAAGUGAAAGCCCGGGGCUUAACCCCGGGACUGCUUUGGAAACUGUAGGACUAGAGUGCAGGAGAGGUAAGUGGAAUUCCUAGUGUAGCGGUGAAAUGCGUAGAUAUUAGGAGGAACACCAGUGGCGAAGGCGGCUUACUGGACUGUAACUGACGUUGAGGCUCGAAAGCGUGGGGAGCAAACAGGAUUAGAUACCCUGGUAGUCCACGCCGUAA